rnacentral:rRNA from 1 species
AGAGUUUGAUCAUGGCUCAGAUUGAACGCUGGCGGCAGGCCUAACACAUGCAAGUCGAGCGGCAGCGGGUCCUUCGGGAUGCCGGCGAGCGGCGGACGGGUGAGUAAUGCCUAGGAAUCUGCCUGGUAGUGGGGGAUAACUCGGGGAAACUCGAGCUAAUACCGCAUACGUCCUACGGGAGAAAGCGGGGGAUCUUAGGACCUCGCGCUACCAGAUGAGCCUAGGUCGGAUUAGCUAGUUGGUGAGGUAAAGGCUCACCAAGGCGACGAUCCGUAGCUGGUCUGAGAGGAUGAUCAGCCACACUGGAACUGAGACACGGUCCAGACUCCUACGGGAGGCAGCAGUGGGGAAUAUUGGACAAUGGGCGAAAGCCUGAUCCAGCCAUGCCGCGUGUGUGAAGAAGGUCUUCGGAUUGUAAAGCACUUUAAGUUGGGAGGAAGGGCAGUAAGCUAAUACCUUGCUGUUUUGACGUUACCGACAGAAUAAGCACCGGCUAACUUCGUGCCAGCCGCCGCGGUAAUAC